rnacentral:rRNA from 1 species
CAGUAGCCGCGGGAAUGCGUAGGGUGCGAGCGUUAAUCGGAAUUACUGGGCGUAAAGCGUGCGUAGGCGGUUUGUUAAGUCUGUUGUGAAAUCCCCGGGCUCAACCUGGGAAUGGCAAUGGAUACUGGCAAGCUAGAGUGUGUCAGAGGAUGGUGGAAUUCCCGGUGUAGCGGUGAAAUGCGUAGAGAUCGGGAGGAACAUCAGUGGCGAAGGCGGCCAUCUGGGACAACACUGACGCUGUGGCACGAAAGCGUGGGGAGCAAACAGGAUUAGAUACCCCAGUAGUCCCUGUCUCUUAUAC